GGGUUAAGUCCCGCAACGAGCGCAACCCUUGUCAUUAAUUGCCAUCAUUCAGUUGGGCACUUUAAUGAGACUGCCGGUGACAAACCGGAGGAAGGUGGGGAUGACGUCAAGUCCUCAUGGCCCUUAUGGGUAGGGCUUCACACGUCAUACAAUGGUCGGUACAGAGGGUUGCCAAGCCGCGAGGUGGAGCCAAUCCCAGAAAGCCGAUCGUAGUCCGGAUCGCAGUCUGCAACUCGACUGCGUGAAGUCGGAAUCGCUAGUAAUCGCGGAUCAGCAUGUCGCGGUGAAUACGUUCCCGGGUCUUGUACACACCGCCCGUCACACCAUGGGAGUGGGUUCUACCAGAAGUAGUUAGCCUAACCGUAAGGAGGGCGAUUACCACGGUAGGAUUCAUGACUGGGGUGAAGUCGUAACAAGGUAGCCGUAUCGGAAGGUGCGGCU
rnacentral:rRNA from 2 species